UGAAGCUCUUACUCAAAAGUAAGCCAAUUGGGGAUAAAAUAUAAAUAAUAGAUCUAGCCAUAAGCAUACCAUGACCAAUUUGAAGAACCAUGGUGUCUGACUAAACAGGAGGUCUGGUGUUCGAUCAAUCCCUGUCUUGGCCGAGAAAAUUCCUCGGGACAAGGAACAGCUUUUGGUCAUUCGGAUGGGAUCGAAAACCAAGGUUAAUACUAAUACGCAGGCUCACUAACCAGGAGCUCCAGAGUUUGAUCCGGUGUUGGCAGAGAAAGUUCCUUGGUAUUUUCCGGCGUAUUUACCUCUUGUCAAAGAUACAGAAUGGAAAGCCUGACAAGGAACAGCAUAUUGUCGUUUGGAUGGAAUGAAAAACCAAGGUCCCGUGUACAUAUUGGCAUUUGAAAUUCAAUUGCUGUCCAGGAGCAGUUUGAUGAAUGAUAACGAUAUUUACAGUAAUAAAAAACCCCUGAUAAGCUACAUACAAAGCUCCUCUGGACAAGACCCCCAGAUUAUAAGUUGGAACACAAUUGUUCAAGACUUGUCAGUGUCACAGCAUUUACAUGGUACAGCAUAGAGGAACAAGGGCCGCAACUCAUGGCGUAAUUAACAGAAAGUGCUGAAAUUCAAUAGGCUUCUUCAUUUCACUAAU